UUUUCGCAAUGCCCGAAAGGGUGACGAAGCGACGCCGCGUGGGUGAGGAAGGCCUUCGGGUUGUAAAGCCCUGUCAGGAGUUAAGAAAUAUAAGUGCGCUAAUAUCGCAUUUAUUUGACGAAGGCUCCAAAGGAAGUCACGGCUAACUCUGUGCCAGCAGCCGCGGUAAUACAGAGGUGGCAAGCGUUGUUCGGAAUUAUUGGGCGUAAAGAGCACGUAGGUGGAUUUGUUAGUCAGAUGUGAAAGCCUUUCGUUCAACGGAAGAAUUGCAUCUGAAACUACAAACCUUGAGUAUAGGAGGGGAGAGUGGAACUUCUGGUGGAGCGGUGAAAUGCGUAGAUAUCAGAAGGAACGCCGGCGGCGAAAGCGACUCUCUGGCCUAUAACUGACACUGAGUGUGCGAAAGCUAGGGGAGCAAACGGGAUUAGAUACCCCGGUAGUCCUAGCCGUAAACGAUGGGCACUAAGUAGAGGGGUUUUAAUC
rnacentral:rRNA from 1 species